rfam:Arabidopsis lyrata subsp. lyrata unplaced genomic scaffold ARALYscaffold_6, whole genome shotgun sequence.
UUGACAGAAGAGAGUGAGCACACAAAGGGGAAGUUGUAUAGAAUUUUUGUAUAUGGUUGCUUUUGCGUGCUCACUCUCUUUCUGUCAU